rnacentral:rRNA from 1 species
AGUGAACGCUGGCGGUAGGCCUAACACAUGCAAGUCGAACGGCAGCACAGUAAGAGCUUGCUCUUACGGGUGGCGAGUGGCGGACGGGUGAGGAAUACAUCGGAAUCUACUUUUUCGUGGGGGAUAACGUAGGGAAACUUACGCUAAUACCGCAUACGACCUACGGGUGAAAGCAUGGGAUCUUCGGACCUUGCGCGAUUGAAUGAGCCGAUGUCGGAUUAGCUAGUUGGCGGGGUAAAGGCCCACCAAGGCGACGAUCCGUAGCUGGUCUGAGAGGAUGAUCAGCCACACUAGAACUGAGACACGGUCCAGACUCCUACGGGAGGCCGCAGUGGGGAAUAUUGGACAAUGGGCGCAAGCCUGAUCCAGCCAUACCGCGUGGGUGAAGAAGGCCUUCGGGUUGUAAAGCCCUUUUGUUGGGAAAGAAAAGCAGCAGGUUAAUACCCCGCUGUUCUGACGGUACCCAAAGAAUAAGCACCGGCUAACUUCGUG